GACGUAGGGCGCGAGCGUUGUCCGGAUUUAUUGGGCGUAAAGAGCUCGUAGGCGGCUUGUUGCGUCGACUGUGAAAACCCGCAGCUUAACUGCGGGCCUGCAGUUGAUACGGGCAGGCUAGAGUUCGGUAGGGGAGACUGGAAUUCCUGGUGUAGUGGUGAAAUGCGUAGAUAUCGGGAGGAACACCAGUGGCGAAGGCGGCCUUCUGGACAGUGACUGACGCUGAGACGCGAAAGCGUGGGGAGCAAACAGG
rnacentral:rRNA from 1 species